CAAGAGUUAUGGUUGCUAAUUUUUAGCGCCAACUCCCACCCAUUGUGUACCAACUUUGUUUGUCUUUGGCGAAGCGAUUUUUGCUUCAUCGCUUAAACCACUGACAGCGAUACUGCUGUGAGUGAGUCUUUGCCAAAGUUUUUUUUAAAACUCUAUACUUUAUAGUCGUCCGAGUUUAUUUUUUGAAUAAAUCA
rnacentral:misc_RNA from 1 species